AUGGAGAUGGACGAUUCUGAGUCUGUCAGAGUGUUCGCGCAGAAAUUGAUGACGCUCGUUGGAGAAAUCCGAUCGCUUGGCGAGACGGUGUCGGAUGAGUCGAUCAUUGAGGUCCUCUUCAAUGCUGUCCCGAGCCGGUUUGGGGACAUCGUGACCACCAUCGAGCUGUGGGGUGACCUCACUACCAUGACCGUGUCAGAGGCAGUUGGGCGUCUCACCGUGUUCGAAGAGAGCCAGCGCGGCCGGCACCGUCACUCCGGCGGGAAGGUGGACCAACUGAUGUUGAUGACAAAAGCCCUUGAGCAGCUGAUGAAGGGAAAAAAGGGGUCACCGGGAGCCGGCAGUAGCAACGCCGGUCGUGGCCGCGGAGGUGGUCGAGGUCAAGGCGGUGGCCGCGGUGACCGCGGACAAGCCGGGCGCGGCGAGAACAAGGACGUGGGGAAGCAGAAGAAACACCGUAAGUUCGACAUCACUAAGGUCAGGUGUUUUAACUGUAAUAAGAUGGGACAUUUUCAGUCUGACUGUCCAGAGCCCAAAUGA
rnacentral:rRNA from 1 species